UCAGGCCUAACACAUGCAAGUCGAGCGGGGUUUUCGGACCUAGCGGCGGACGGGUGAGUAAUGCGUAGGAAGCUACCCGAUAGAGGGGGAUACCAGUUGGAAACGACUGUUAAUACCGCAUAAUGUCUACGGACCAAAGUGUGGGACCUUCGGGCCACAUGCUAUCGGAUGCGCCUACGUGGGAUUAGCUAGUUGGUGAGGUAAUGGCUCACCAAGGCGACGAUCUCUAGCUGGUUUGAGAGGAUGAUCAGCCACACUGGAACUGAGACACGGUCCAGACUCCUACGGGAGGCAGCAGUGGGGAAUAUUGGACAAUGGGCGCAAGCCUGAUCCAAAGAUGCCGCGUGUGUGAAGAAGGCCUUCGGGU
rnacentral:rRNA from 1 species